GGCAGUGUAGCAUAGUGGUAAGGAGCAGGGCUCGCAACCAAAAGGUUGCUGGUUCGAUUCCCUGCGGGGACACUGCUG
rnacentral:tRNA from 1 species